GGUUAAGCGACUAAGCGUACACGGUGGAUGCCCUGGCAGUCAGAGGCGAUGAAGGACGUGCUAAUCUGCGAAAAGCGCCGGCGAGGUGAUAUGAACCUUUGACCCGGCGAUGUCCGAAUGGGGAAACCCAGUGUGUUCCGACACACUAUCGUUAACUGAAUACAUAGGUUAACGAGGCGAACCGGGGGAACUGAAACAUCUAAGUACCCCGAGGAAAAGAAAUCAACCGAGAUUCCCCCAGUAGCGGCGAGCGAACGGGGAGCAGCCCAGAGUCUGAAUCAGCUUGUGUGUUAGUGGAAGCGUCUGGAAAGUCGCACGGUACAGGGUGAAAGUCCCGUACACGAAAGCACACAGGUUGUGAACUCGAAGAGUAGGGCGGGACACGUGGUAUCCUGUCUGAAUAUGGGGGGACCAUCCUCCAAGGCUAAAUACUCCUGACUGACCGAUAGUGAACCAGUACCGUGAGGGAAAGGCGAAAAGAACCCCGGCGAGGGGAGUGAAAAAGAACCUGAAACCGUGUACGUACAAGCAGUGGGAGCCUCUUUUAUGGGGUGACUGCGUACCUUUUGUAUAAUGGGUCAGCGACUUAUAUUCUGUAGCAAGGUUAACCGUAUAGGGGAGCCGAAGGGAAACCGAGUCUUAACUGGGCGUUAAGUUGCAGGGUAUAGACCCGAAACCCGGUGAUCUAGCCAUGGGCAGGUUGAAGGUUGGGUAACACUAACUGGAGGACCGAACCGACUAAUGUUGAAAAAUUAGCGGAUGACUUGUGGCUGGGGGUGAAAGGCCAAUCAAACCGGGAGAUAGCUGGUUCUCCCCGAAAGCUAUUUAGGUAGCGCCUCGUGAAUUCAUCUUCGGGGGUAGAGCACUGUUUCGGCUAGGGGGCCAUCCCGGCUUACCAACCCGAUGCAAACUACGAAUACCGAAGAAUGUUAUCACGGGAGACACACGGCGGGUGCUAACGUCCGUCGUGAAGAGGGAAACAACCCAGACCGCCAGCUAAGGUCCCAAAGUCAUGGUUAAGUGGGAAACGAUGUGGGAAGGCACAGACAGCCAGGAUGUUGGCUUAGAAGCAGCCAUCAUUUAAAGAAAGCGUAAUAGCUCACUGGUCGAGUCGGCCUGCGCGGAAGAUGUAACGGGGCUAAACCAUGCACCGAAGCUGCGGCAGCGACGCUUAUGCGUUGUUGGGUAGGGGAGCGUUCUGUAAGCCGUUGAAGGUGUCCUGUGAGGGGUGCUGGAGGUAUCAGAAGUGCGAAUGCUGACAUAAGUAACGAUAAAGCGGGUGAAAAGCCCGCUCGCCGGAAGACCAAGGGUUCCUGUCCAACGUUAAUCGGGGCAGGGUGAGUCGACCCCUAAGGCGAGGCCGAAAGGCGUAGUCGAUGGGAAACAGGUUAAUAUUCCUGUACUUGGUGUUACUGCGAAGGGGGGACGGAGAAGGCUAUGUUAGCCGGGCGACGGUUGUCCCGGUUUAAGCAUGUAGGCGGAGGUUCCAGGUAAAUCCGGUUCCUUGUUAACGCUGAGGUGUGAUGACGAGGCACUACGGUGCUGAAGUAACAAAUGCCCUGCUUCCAGGAAAAGCCUCUAAGCAUCAGGUAACAUCAAAUCGUACCCCAAACCGACACAGGUGGUCAGGUAGAGAAUACCAAGGCGCUUGAGAGAACUCGGGUGAAGGAACUAGGCAAAAUGGUGCCGUAACUUCGGGAGAAGGCACGCUGAUAUGUAGGUGAAGCCCCUGCGGGUGGAGCUGAAAUCAGUCGAAGAUACCAGCUGGCUGCAACUGUUUAUUAAAAACACAGCACUGUGCAAACACGAAAGUGGACGUAUACGGUGUGACGCCUGCCCGGUGCCGGAAGGUUAAUUGAUGGGGUUAGCGGCAACGCGAAGCUCUUGAUCGAAGCCCCGGUAAACGGCGGCCGUAACUAUAACGGUCCUAAGGUAGCGAAAUUCCUUGUCGGGUAAGUUCCGACCUGCACGAAUGGCGUAAUGAUGGCCAGGCUGUCUCCACCCGAGACUCAGUGAAAUUGAACUCGCUGUGAAGAUGCAGUGUACCCGCGGCAAGACGGAAAGACCCCGUGAACCUUUACUAUAGCUUGACACUGAACACUGGUCCUUGAUGUGUAGGAUAGGUGGGAGGCUUUGAAGCGUGGACGCCAGUCUGCGUGGAGCCAACCUUGAAAUACCACCCUUUAAUGGCUGGUGUUCUAACGUAGACCCGUAAUCCGGGUUGCGGACAGUGUCUGGUGGGUAGUUUGACUGGGGCGGUCUCCUCCCAAAGAGUAACGGAGGAGCACGAAGGUUAGCUAAUCCUGGUCGGACAUCAGGAGGUUAGUGCAAUGGCAUAAGCUAGCUUGACUGCGAGAGUGACGGCUCGAGCAGGUGCGAAAGCAGGUCAUAGUGAUCCGGUGGUUCUGAAUGGAAGGGCCAUCGCUCAACGGAUAAAAGGUACUCCGGGGAUAACAGGCUGAUACCGCCCAAGAGUUCAUAUCGACGGCGGUGUUUGGCACCUCGAUGUCGGCUCAUCACAUCCUGGGGCUGAAGUAGGUCCCAAGGGUAUGGCUGUUCGCCAUUUAAAGUGGUACGCGAGCUGGGUUUAGAACGUCGUGAGACAGUUCGGUCCCUAUCUGCCGUGGGCGCUGGAGAAUUGAGGGGGGCUGCUCCUAGUACGAGAGGACCGGAGUGGACGCAUCACUGGUGUUCGGGUUGUCAUGCCAAUGGCACUGCCCGGUAGCUAAAUGCGGAAGAGAUAAGUGCUGAAAGCAUCUAAGCACGAAACUUGCCCCGAGAUGAGUUCUCCCUGAGACUUUAAGUCUCCUGAAGGAACGUUGAAGACUACGACGUUGAUAGGUCGGGUGUGUAAGCGCAGCGAUGCGUUGAGCUAACCGAUACUAAUGAACCGUGAGGCUUAACCUU
rnacentral:rRNA from 1 species